rnacentral:lncRNA from 1 species
GCGCCCGCCCCCGCACCGCGCCCCCCCCGGCCCGCCGUCGGCGCUCCCGCCGCCGCCUCACUAUAUAGCAAGGGGGGCGGGGCCGUAACGUCACCGCUCACCGCCCCACCUCCGCCGCGCAGCCAAUCCCGGCCUCUAGCCGCUUAAAGGGGCGAUGUCCGGUCAAGGUGCUCGCGUGGGGUCCACUGGCGUCGGAUGGCCCCUCGCCAGGGAAGCAGUCUUUGUCUCCCGAGGGACGUGUUUUUGGCCUGCUGCGGCCCGGGCGUCCCUGCUCUGCCGAAUCCGGGAGGCCGCUGCCCGGCUCUGGGCACUCCUUCCCCUGAAUCUUCCUCUGAAUAGUGCAGGCCGCCCGGCCUCGGCCGCGGUUCCUGCCCGAACCAAAGGCGGCGCCAUGCCUCGCACGGGGUUUCCGUCGUUUGCAUCCCUGGGGAGGGUUUUCUCUUCCUCUGUCGGCGGGCCGCGUGGGUGGGCCGAGGGCACCGCGGGGAGGCGAGCGGACCCUCUGCGGGCCGGCCUGGGGAGGCGGGGGGCGCGUCUCCUGCAGGACCCGCGCUCACCACGAGGCCCGCGGCCCAAGACGUUGGAAGGACAGCUUUGGGCAUCAAGGGUCUGCGCAAGACAAGAAAGGACAGAGCGAGGCAUCGGAGGACAGCGUGGGCAGAGUGGCACAGUGAUAAAUUCUACCAAGUAAAGAAAAUGUUGAAUCAAAGAGACGGAUCAUCUUUCAAAACUUUUUCAGUUGCUAAAUGGCAACCAGAUUGUUGGGACAGCUAGUAGAAGUACAGUGUUCAGUUAAUGAUAUGCUCUUCAACUUUGGAGUUUUGGGUUAAUUUCAGAUUUUUUUCUUGUUUCUUUGUUUUUGAGGGUUGCUUUAGUAGAUAAAAUUUUUGCAUAGCUCUCAGAAAAUGUGCAUUUCUCCUGUUGGUACUGAAGUUGAAUAUGUAU